rnacentral:rRNA from 1 species
GACCUUGAUCCCGCCUUACCCAUAUGCAGCGUGCAUGACUGCCGGAUGGGCAUGUGCUCCUGGCACGACACCGAUGG